UCAAUGAAUAUUUGAUCAGCAUCAUACAUGGUCAAACUCAAAGCCAUGAAAAUUGCAAACAGAGCAAAAAAAUUUUAAGGUUUCUGGUCCAAUUAUUGAGAUUAGCGAACCAGAGAAUGUUUUGACACCACUCUGGCUUUUCUAUGUCAAAUAUCGAGAGACAAUUUAUUUCAGGCUAAUUUUGC